GACGAACGCUGGCGGCGUGCUUAAUACAUGCAAGUCGAACGGACAGGCCCUGCUUUUGUGGGGUGCUCGAGUGGCGAACGGGUGAGUAACACGUGAGUAAACUGUACUUGUCUUUGGGAUAACUUCAGGAAACUGGGGCUCAUACCGGGUAGGAGCUCCUGCUGCAUGGUGGGGGUUGGUAAGUUUCGGCGGUUGGGGCUAGACUCGCGGGUUAUCCGCUUGUUGGUGGGGUAGUGGCUUACCAAGGCUGUGACGGGUAGCCGGCCUGGGAGGGUGACCGGCCACAUUGGGACUGAGAUACGGCCCAGACUCCUACGGGAGGCAGCAGUGGGGAGUAUUGCACAAUGGGCGGAAGCCUGAGGCAGCAGCGCCGCGUGCGGGAUGACGGCCUUCUGGUGGAAAACCGCUUUCGCCUGUGACGAAGCGUGAGUGACGGUAAUGGGUAAAGAAGCACCGGCUAACUACGUG
rnacentral:rRNA from 1 species